GCUUCGCAAUUGUUGUAAGAGGGUGAGCUGCCCAGGUGUGUCCCACGAACCCCAAACGGCAAGGUGAGCGUCCUGAUGCACCCCAGCCAUGAAAAUUUCUCUCAUUGUUGGUGCCUAUCCAAGCCCAAGAGAGCCCGCGCAUGCGUACCCAUAGGUGCCCAACACGCAUGAAUCCCCGUGGUUGUUUGAGAGAGGGUUUUCUCCCCCACGCACGCACUUUCCGCUCGUGUGAGGACCGAAGCAAAAACAAGGCCCCGACCAACUGGUGAAACCAUUGGGGACACAUCACCCUGUCGUUGGCUUGGAC
rnacentral:lncRNA from 1 species